rnacentral:rRNA from 1 species
CAAGCCUGAUGCAGCCAUGCCGCGUGUAUGAAGAAGGCCUUCGGGUUGUAAAGUACUUUCAGUUGUGAGGAAGGGGGUAUUGUUAAUAGCGCUAUCUCUUGACGUUAGCAACAGAAGAAGCACCGGCUAACUCCGUGCCAG